GCGGUUGAAUCUGCCGGCGCGCGCGCCUAUCUGAUGGGUGUUCCGCAAGGGACUAUGGCGAUAAACGCGCCCGUAAUAGACGGCUCGGACCCGGGGGCGGUACCCGGCGGCUCCACCAAAACUCCCACAUUGGCGGGAUCUUGGGGCCGAAACAGGAUCGACGGACGUUCAAAGGGGUUUGCUUUUGCUCGGUGAGCUACCACCGUUAUCGGUGCAAGCAUGAUAGUUGCCAAUGACAACCGUGCUCCGGUGGCGCUGGCUGCGUAAGCAGUUCGCAAAACCAAAUCUAAGCCCUUGCGUCUAGCAACGUAAGGCGGGGUUCGCAGGCACCUGGCAACAGAAGCCUGCACU
rnacentral:tmRNA from 1 species